rnacentral:lncRNA from 1 species
GAACAGUGGAGCAUUUGAAAAAAAGUAGCUUUUCCAGGGAAAAGUGAGAAGACACAACUCCUACGCCCAAUGCAAAAAGCUCAAUAUGGGGUCCUUAGUGCCGUGAUACUUCUGUCUGACCUAGAAUUACCUUCCCUAAUCUACUCCCUUCUUAAGUCCCACAAACACUAUCUACAUCUCGCUUUGAUCCAAACUUAGUUUCUUUUGAUUAGCUGUUUACUGUUUUCUUAAUUUCCCAAAUUUGAUGUGUUUUAUGCGUUUACUAGGUUAAGCUCUAUAGGGACAAACUGGUUGAGGCCUUUCUGCCACACUAUCUAAACCAACCCAACCAAAGGAACCCCUUUCUCCCUCUGGAGGAUUAACUAAGUUAAUCCUCAGACAUCUACCUCCCAUAUCCUCUACCUUCUGGGACCAGCCCUCACUUAUCUAUCACUAGCAGAGGAAAAGAAUAUCAGAGAUAAAUCACAGUGAGAGAAAAUAUCAGAAAGAUUCAAACAAGAGAUCAAUGACGGGAGGGAGAGGGGGAAAUUAGAUAUCAUAAUUAACAUUCUAUUUGCAGGUUAGCCAU